UACAGAGGGGGCAAGCGUUGUUCGGAAUCAUUGGGCGUAAAGGGCGUGUAGGCGGUUUGUUAAGUCAUGUGUGAAAGCCCCCGGCUCAACCGGGGAACGACGCAUGAAACUGGCAAGCUAGAGUACCGAAGAGGGGGGGUGGAAUUCCCCGGUGUAGCGGUGGAAUGCGCAGAUAUCAGGAGGAACACCAAUAGCGAAGGCAGCUCGCUGGGACGGUACUGACACUAAGGCGCGAAAGCGUGGGGAGCGAACAGG
rnacentral:rRNA from 1 species